GAAAAGUUGGCCGCCAUGGACUGUCGUCUGGUACUUUGCUUGAUCGUCAUUGGACUCGUUUCUCAUCAUGUCUCCGCUCAAAGGGGGUCGUGCGAAGGGUGCUGUGACUGCGGCUUUAUGGGUGGCUAUAAUUGCUAUUGCGAUAAUUAUUGCCAGACAGCCGGUGAUUGUUGCUCAGACUACGCAACGCACUGUGCCGAUCCUUGCGAGUCAACACCCUGUCAGAACGGUGGAUUCUGUGACAGUGUUGAGGGAACGUUCACAUGUACCUGUCCUUCUGGAUAUUUUGGGGAGAGAUGCCAAGAAAAGGAGAGCGACCCUUGUAGUUCUGCACCCUGUCUGAACGGUGGGUCGUGUAGCAGCGAUGGAAACUCAUCUUGGUGUUACUGUCCAGAUGGAUACACUGGAAAGUAUUGUGAAAAUCAUCAUGGAAACGGGAGCGACCCGUGUAGUUUUGCACCCUGUCUGAACGGUGGGACGUGUUACAGCAAUGGAAAUUCAUCUUCGUGUAUCUGUCCAGACGGAUAUUAUGGAGAGCAUUGUGAAUAUCAUCAAGGAAACGGAAGCGACCCGUGUAGUUUUGCACCCUGUCUGAACGGUGGGACGUGUUACAGCAAUGGAAAUUCAUCUUCGUGUAUCUGUCCAGACGGAUUUUAUGGAGAGCAUUGUGAAUACCAUCAGGGAAACGGAAGCGACCCCUGUAGUUUUGCACCCUGUCUGAACGGUGGGACGUGUUACAGCAAUGGAAAUUCAUCUUCGUGUUUCUGUCCAGACGGAUAUUAUGGAGAGCAUUGUGAAUACCAUCAGGGAAACGGGAGCGACCCGUGUAGUUUUGAACCCUGUCUGAACGGUGGGACGUGUUACAGCAAUGGAAAUUCAUCUUCGUGUUUCUGUCCAGACGGAUAUUAUGGAGAGCAUUGUGAAUACCAUCAUGGAAACGGAAGCAACCCCUGUAGUUUUGCACCCUGUCUGAACGGUGGGACGUGUUACAGCAAUGGAAAUUCAUCUUCGUGUAUCUGUCCAGACGGAUAUUAUGGAGAGCAUUGUGAAUACCAUCAGGGAAACGGGAGCGACCCGUGUAGUUUUGCACCCUGUCUGAACGGUGGGACGUGUUACAGCAAUGGAAAUUCAUCUUCGUGUUUCUGUCCAGACGGAUAUUAUGGAGAGCAUUGUGAAUACCAUCAGGGAAACGGGAGCGACCCGUGUAGUUUUGCACCCUGUCUGAACGGUGGGACGUGUUACAGCAAUGGAAAUUCAUCUUCGUGUUUCUGUCCAGAUGGAUAUUAUGGAGAGCAUUGUGAAUACCAUCAUGGAAACGGAAGCGACCCCUGUAGUUUUGCACCCUGUCUGAACGGUGGGACGUGUUACAGCAAUGGAAAUUCAUCUUCGUGUAUCUGUCCAGACGGAUAUUAUGGAGAGCAUUGUGAAUACCAUCAGGGAAACGGAAGCGACCCCUGUAGUUUUGCACCCUGUCUGAACGGUGGGACGUGUUACAGCAAUGGAAAUUCAUCUUCGUGUAUCUGUCCAGACGGAUAUUAUGGAGAGCAUUGUGAAUACCAUCAGGGAAACGGGAGCGACCCGUGUAGUUUUGCACCCUGUCUGAACGGUGGGACGUGUUACAGCAAUGGAAAUUCAUCUUCGUGUUUCUGUCCAGACGGAUAUUAUGGAGAGCAUUGUAAAUACCAUCAUGGAAACGGAAGCGACCCCUGUAGUUUUGCACCCUGUCUGAACGGUGGGACGUGUUACAGCAAUGGAAAUUCAUCUUCGUGUAUCUGUCCAGACGGAUAUUAUGGAGAGCAUUGUGAAUACCAUCAGGGAAACGGGAGCGACCCGUGUAGUUUUGCACCCUGUCUGAACGGUGGGACGUGUUACAGCAAUGGAAAUUCAUCUUCGUGUUUCUGUCCAGAUGGAUAUUAUGGAGAGCAUUGUGAAUACCAUCAUGGAAACGGAAGCGACCCCUGUAGUUUUGCACCCUGUCUGAACGGUGGGACGUGUUACAGCAAUGGAAAUUCAUCUUCGUGUAUCUGUCCAGACGGAUAUUAUGGAGAGCAUUGUGAAUACCAUCAGGGAAACGGGAGCGACCCGUGUAGUUUUGCACCCUGUCUGAACGGUGGGACGUGUUACAGCAAUGGAAAUUCAUCUUCGUGUUUCUGUCCAGACGGAUAUUAUGGAGAGCAUUGUAAAUACCAUCAUGGAAACGGAAGCGACCCCUGUAGUUUUGCACCCUGUCUGAACGGUGGGACGUGUUACAGCAAUGGAAAUUCAUCUUCGUGUAUCUGUCCAGACGGAUAUUAUGGAGAGCAUUGUGAAUACCAUCAGGGAAACGGGAGCGACCCGUGUAGUUUUGCACCCUGUCUGAACGGUGGGACGUGUUACAGCAAUGGAAAUUCAUCUUCGUGUUUCUGUCCAGAUGGAUAUUAUGGAGAGCAUUGUGAAUACCAUCAUGGAAACGGAAGCGACCCCUGUAGUUUUGCACCCUGUCUGAACGGUGGGACGUGUUACAGCAAUGGAAAUUCAUCUUCGUGUAUCUGUCCAGACGGAUAUUAUGGAGAGCAUUGUGAAUACCAUCAGGGAAACGGAAGCGACCCCUGUAGUUUUGCACCCUGUCUGAACGGUGGGACGUGUUACAGCAAUGGAAAUUCAUCUUCGUGUAUCUGUCCAGACGGAUAUUAUGGAGAGCAUUGUGAAUACCAUCAGGGAAACGGGAGCGACCCGUGUAGUUUUGCACCCUGUCUGAACGGUGGGACGUGUUACAGCAAUGGAAAUUCAUCUUCGUGUUUCUGUCCAGACGGAUAUUAUGGAGAGCAUUGUAAAUACCAUCAUGGAAACGGAAGCGACCCGUGUAGUUUUGCACCCUGUCUGAACGGUGGGACGUGUUACAGCAAUGGAAAUUCAUCUUCGUGUAUCUGUCCAGACGGAUAUUAUGGAGAGCAUUGUGAAUACCAUCAAGCCUGGAACUCGACAACUAUCCUAUAGUAUCUAUUCCUAUUAUGGAUUGUGAACGGUAA